AGUGAACGCUGGCGGUAGGCCUAACACAUGCAAGUCGAACGGCAGCACAGUAAGAGCUUGCUCUUACGGGUGGCGAGUGGCGGACGGGUGAGGAAUACAUCGGAAUCUACUUUUUCGUGGGGGAUAACGUAGGGAAACUUACGCUAAUACCGCAUACGACCUACGGGUGAAAGCAGGGGAUCUUCGGACCUUGCGCGAUUGAAUGAGCCGAUGUCGGAUUAGCUAGUUGGCGGGGUAAAGGCCCACCAAGGCGACGAUCCGUAGCUGGUCUGAGAGGAUGGUCAGCCACACUGGAAGUGAGACAGGGUCCAGACGCCUACGGGAGGCAGCAGUGGGGGAUAUUGGACGAUGGGGGCAAGCCUGAUCCAGCCAUACCGCGUGGGUGAAGAAGGCCUUCGGGUUGUAAAGCCCUUUUGUUGGGAAAGAAAAGCAGCAGGUUAAUACCCCGCUGUUCUGACGGUACCCAAAGAAUAAGCACCGGCUAACUUCGUG
rnacentral:rRNA from 1 species